AAAACCUUUUAAUGAAAGUCCAGAGAGGCUUGGAAGGGUUAUGAAGAGAAGGAAGCUUCAAUGCUGCCCUCUAUUUAACCAUACCCCGAGUCUAUCUUAGACCGGGGUUUUUUUUCA
rfam:Bacillus subtilis subsp. subtilis str. 168 complete genome.